GGUUUUGCAUGUCGGGCGUGCUCCAUAAAUGCGGGCUUUCCAUCCCCUCCGGAACAUCAGGGUUAAUUUUCAACAGCUCUGGGGCUAGAUGAACCCUAGAUCUGAAGCUCACCGGUCUCGUUUCCUGGUUGUUCAACCUGGAGAAAGGGAUUCCCUCCUCCACCCCCCACCCCGGCCAGAGACCCAGCUUCGUCUGUAGUAACAGGAAUGAGGACACAGAGACAACUCUAUGGCAGGCCCGGGGCUGGGUGGCCACCAGGGAUUCGGAUCUGAAGGACGAUCUCCUACCUUGCGGAGGUCACAGAUGCAAAAACGGGCAAUUGCAGUCACGUGGUCAGUGUUGUGCAGGUUGCCUUGUCAUUGCGUUGAUGGUUUGUCUCCAUCGCUGGGCAGAAGCUUUUUAGUUUGACGGAGGCCCACUUGCUUAGUUUUGCUUUGGUUGCCUCUGCUUUUGGCAUCGGACCCAAAAAUAGCAUCGCCGAGACGGAUAUGAAGGAGCUCGCCGCCUGUUUUUUCUUCUAGGAGAUUCACGGUUUCAGGUCUCACGUUCAAGUUUUUCAUCAUGUUUCUGCAUGUGGCCGUCCGGUUUUCCCAACAGGAAAACAGAAAGCACGAGAUAAAGAAUGCAUUAUAAAAUAGGAAUUCUGGUACCUUUGCUCCCUCAAA